UACGUAGGGGGCAAGCGUUGUCCGGAAUUAUUGGGCGUAAAGCGCGCGUAGGCGGCUCGAUCAGUCUGCUGUGAAAGUCAAAGGCUCAACCUUUGAAUGCCGGUGGAUACUGUCGAGCUAGAGUCCGGAAGAGGCGAGUGGAAUUCCUGGUGUAGCGGUGGAAUGCGCAGAUAUCAGGAGGAACACCAACGGCGAAGGCAGCUCGCUGGGACGGUACUGACGCUAAGGCGCGAAAGCGUGGGGAGCGAACAGG
rnacentral:rRNA from 1 species